ensembl:lncRNA
AAUUGAGCAUGGCACAGCAAACAAACAAUAAUUGGCCGACAGACAGCUCCCAGAUUGGACAGGGGAUGGACGAUGGUGGAGGAACAGCCAAUGGUGUGUCACCUACAGAGAACGAGAGGGAUAACAGAAGGCCAACAACCAAACAGAGGACGAGCACCUGCCUGUGGCUUGAUGGAUGCGUGUGUUUCCUUGGAGUACGCCGCUUUGUGUUUUCUGAGUGCUUGGUCAGACCAGACUGGUCCUGGCAAUCAUCCUCCGUGGACGGCUGCAGGCUGGGUUUAUCGGAAAACUCCCGCUCCGCCCGUUCCGCCACGUCGAGAGCCACAUCGAGGAUCGGGGGCAGUAGUCUGGGUAGCCAUUCCGGGCGUACAACUGAAUGUCCGCUGCGUAGGCCCCCCAAGCGUUCCCCCUCCCGGCGGCGGCAGCUGGUUAGCAGCUCCCGGCUGUGGUUCACGGCCCCCCCGCUGCCCAAAACGCCUCUCCAACGCCCGGAUCAAUAUUCCACCAGAAUAAACGGCUGACUGCCAAUGGUUCCAUCGUGGUCUCAAUCACACAACGCAACGAGAGAGUACGCAACUGCUACACCAACUAAACUGAAUCUGUCCAUCUGGUAUCCCAAUAAUCAUGACUCUCACUGUCUACACCAUGGACAACGUCAGACCAUAGAGUCUGUCCCACAUUUUAAACGGUUGUAAUGUUUACCAAGGACUAUACAUAGCCAGGCAUGACAGGAUUGUUGACAUUAUCACCAAAGAUGUGUCACCCAUGUUUUAUUCCUCUGUUUUGUUCUACAAACAUUCAUGUGUGAAACCAGAAAUGUUCCAAUGCAAUGACCCCCAUGUAUUUAAAGGUAUAACAGCAAAUACACCGGAUGUCAUUGUGAUUGAUGAGAAUAACAGAGAGGUUUUCCUAUGGGAAGUUGGUUGCACUUUUGACUCAAGUUUAGAGGAAGCUUUCCUUACUAAACAAGUUAAAUACCAACCAUUAGUGCAAGCUAUCAUACACUUAGGCUAUAAAUGCCAGCUUAUCGUUUUUAUUUUCGGCAGCCUAGGUCAUGUCCACAGGCUGGUGGUC